UACGUAGGGUGCGAGCGUUGUCCGGAAUUAUUGGGCGUAAAGAGCUCGUAGGCGGUCUGUCGCGUCUGCUGUGAAAACCCGAGGCUCAACCUCGGGCCUGCAGUGGGUACGGGCAGACUAGAGUGCGGUAGGGGAGAAUGGAAUUCCUGGUGUAGCGGUGGAAUGCGCAGAUAUCAGGAGGAACACCGGAUGGCGAAGGCAGUUCUCUGGGCCGUAACUGACGCUGAGGAGCGAAAGCGUGGGGAGCGAACAGG
rnacentral:rRNA from 1 species